AUUGGGUUACAUGCUCUGCAAUGGGAUGGGAUCCGAAGCCCUCCAAAGGAUAAUACAGGCUCUUCUAUCCAACUCCUAUUCCGACACGUCCUCGUCGUGCAGAGUGGUAACAUGUGCCUCCAUAUAUCCUAGCUUGGGUAAACGGGCUAGAUCCAACCCCUUGUGCGGAUGAUGGCAUUUGGCGAACCAGGAGGCG
rfam:Anopheles arabiensis strain DONG5_A unplaced genomic scaffold supercont1.225, whole genome shotgun sequence.